rnacentral:rRNA from 1 species
UACGGAGGGUGCAAGCGUUAUCCGGAUUCACUGGGUUUAAAGGGAGCGUAGGCGGGCUUGUAAGUCAGUGGUGAAAUCUCCGGGCUUAACUCGGAAACUGCCAUUGAUACUAUAAGUCUUGAAUUAUCUGGAGGUAAGCGGAAUAUGUCAUGUAGCGGUGAAAUGCUUAGAUAUGACAUAGAACACCCAUUGCGAAGGCAGCUUACUACGGGUAUAUUGACGCUGAGGUGCGAAAGCGUGGGGAGCAAACAGG